UUAAACAAAGUCAUCGCUGCAUGUUUGACCAUGACGCAAAAAGCGAGAGCGAGCCAAGCAUUCAAAGCAUGUGUAUGAGAUUGAUUUAGAAUCAACUUAAAAUACUUAUAUUCCAUUACACGAAAGCUUGAUGCUUGAAAGAAAAUAUUCAGAUCACUUGGUGAUAGCAUACAUUGGCUUUACAAAACAUGCUAUAUUAGCAUAGAUGAAUGGUGCAUAUAGUGCUUGCCCGUUAACCGCUCGAGUCUUGUACCCGCCGUUGGCAGGAAGGAAAGAACCUACGACCCAGACGGAUGAACAACCUAGCCGCACACUGCAGACAUGAUCAGAGGCCUAUAGAGGAACAAAAGAAUCAAGCGACUGUGUAUAAAACAAUAAGCAGAUGGUACACUUUAUUAAUUAUUUUUCUAGCCGUUUUUCCUUUAUCACCAAGCAGCACGUAUUAGUUGGGUAAACAAUAACCAGGUGGUACAUUUGAUAUUGGAACCCCCAUACAUUUAUUAUCUCUACUCAUUUAAAGAACUAACCCGAGCAGGCAUUGCAAGACUAUUAAGAAUCGGUAUGAAACUAAGAAAAGUGGGCAUCCUCUGUAAACAUGGAUAUCGACCAAUGGCAUAUGAGCACACAUUCACCCAGGAAGAAAACCACCAAGACAAGCAUAAGUAAUCAAGAACACAUUUUUUUUCUAACAAGAUCUGAAGGAAAACCCACACAAAGCACGACAAGCAUAAUAAGGUGAACCCCGAAACACAUAGACAGGCAACCUAGCCGCACAAAUGCAGGAGUUCACGGCCUAUAUUAUCAAGAAGUAAGAACCCGAGGCAAUCUGAGUAGACCUAACCUUGUUGGUUAACGGCAUGGUCGAACGAACCAACAAAGAACCUGCACAGGCAGAGAAACAUGCAAUGCAAAAUGUUUCAGCUCACAGGCAUUUCAUCGAACAGGAGACGGCAUGAAAGAUAUUACCACAUCUUGCAAGAAUAUAAGGGAAAGAAACCCC
rnacentral:lncRNA from 1 species